AUGCUUCUGGGGCUUAACUGUGGGAGGGCAAUUGAUAACAUAGCUCUCCCAGAAUCUGCUAAAGCUGUCUCUUCAGAACGUAAUUUUGACCUCAAGGUAGGCAUUUAUCUUGCCCGUUGCUAUGGUGGUUUAGAAUCUGUUUGUAGUACUAAGUUCACCAUUGAUUCCUUUUUCAUUUUGCUUUAUGUAUCCAUUGAUUUCACAAAGUUGAUUAAUUAGAGUAAUUGGAAUGGAUAUGAUGUGGUUGUUAAGUUUCAGUUUUUUGUUGAAUUCCUACCCUUUUAUUUGUGGUAAAAAGUGUCGAGGAAAGGUCAAAAAAAGUUAAUGGACUCAUUAUUUUUUCAAGGGAAAAGCAAAUGGUCUCAUCGAAUGCUUUCAAAGUGCAAUAUUUGAGCUGUGGUUGUUGAAUUGAAUGGUAUGAUAUGAUAAUAUAUCUAUUGUAUGCCCAAUUACUGCUGAAAAAACUGUCAGAAGCUGAUAGUCAAGGGAAAUCUAGCUUAAAUAAUAAGAAUGUUGACCUUUAUGAAUUGGUUUCUCCCUAUUUUCAGCUAAAGAGCUAAUGGUGUUGGUCGAACACUUUAACUGGCUUCACUGGAAAUGGGAUUAAUGCUUAUCUUACUCAUGCAUGUCAUUUAUCUGAGAAUGGACAUUCGUAGUUAUGUGUGAAAACUAACUAAUGAUGAAGGGAUAAUUUGGUUGGGUUUCGAGGGAUAUCUUAGAGCACCUCUUGUGGUGCCUGGACAGGGGGGUUCAAACUCCUCCAACCCCCUCCUCCUAUUUACCUAUAAAAAAAAAAGUCAAAAAACAAUAAUCUGCAUAAUUAUCCAAACUUCUGAAAACUGUUUGUUUUUAUCUAUAGGCUCUAAGAGAAACCUCUGUGAAAUUGUUCACUUGUACUGAAAUCACCAAUCUCAUUCUAAAGUGUAAUAAAGAAUCGUUCACUUUCCAAGAAGCAUUCAUGCAAAGUAGUAAACCUUCAAAGUUGAAUAUUCACUGUAGAGAGGUGGCCAAAUAUAUUUUAUUUUUUCUGUUGGCUGUUUUAGUUGAUGUUAUAGCAGUUCUGUGUUACCUACUGGCUUAGUGUGUUUGCUCUAUGCCAAUAGCUACCCAUGCUUAGCCAAAUGGCAUGCAAAUCACGUGUGUAGGAAAAAAAAGUGUUUUGGUUUGGAGGGAGAGAGGGAGGGGAAAAGAGUGAAAGAGAGAGGAGAAUACUUGGGGUAUUAAGGAAGGAAGUUAGUUAAAGAAACAAUUUUAGUUGAUGUCAGCUGAUAUUAUUAUAAUUGAGAUUACACAUUUGUCCUUCUUAUUCAAAUAUAUUAUUUUUUCGUACGAUGUGGAAAAAAAAAAAAAAAAGACUUUUUAGUAUUUUUCCAUGCAAAAUAUGCAUAUUGAAAUCUUCCAUAGAGUUCUCUUUAUUAUUUUUACAUAUGAAAAUUCUUUGAGGUCCUUCCUUUGUUUUCUCCCCGAGUACUAGGGUUGUGUCCUGUUUGAACUUUUCUAAUGAAUUUUAGUUACAAAAGAAUCUUAAAUAAUUUCACUACAUUAUUGAUUGAUUUGAAUUUUUUUCAUAUUAAAUCUUUUCAGGCUUUCUGCUUUCAUGCUGACAAAGAAUUAUUGAGAGCACCUCGAAUAGUGAGGGUUGGUCUUAUUCAGAACUCUAUGGCUCUUCCAACAACUGCAUCCUUUCUGGACCAAAAGAGGGCUAUCUAUCAGAAACUAAAGCCAAUCAUUGAGGCUGCCGGUGCUUCAGGAGUCAAUAUAUUAUGCCUGCAGGUAGUUCAUGGUGUGAGGGUUGAAUAUUCUUUUAUUGAUUCACUUCCAUCUCAAGUCUUACAAAUCUCAUGAAAUUUAUGUAAAUUUAAUUCAGGAAGUAUGGAUGAUGCCAUUUGCCUUUUGUACACGGGAGAAGAGGUGGUGCGAAUUUGUAGAGCCCGUUGAUGGGGAAUCUACACAAUUUCUUCAGGAUUUUGCACUGAAAUAUAAUAUGGUCAUUAUAAGUCCAAUUCUUGAGAGGGAUAUCAAUCAUGGAGAGACUAUUUGGAACACUGCUGUUAUAAUUGGAAAUCAUGGCAACAUAAUUGGCAAGCAUCGGAAGGUAGACAAGAUGGUUGUUCAUUGUUAUAAUUUUUUUUUUUUUUUUUGGGUUCUUUUUUGGGGGCAUAAUGAGAUUGGCUAUUUUGGCAGAAUCAUAUACCUAGAGUCGGUGACUUCAAUGAGAGCACAUAUUAUGUAGAAGGCAACACUGGGCAUCCUGUUUUUGAGACAGUGUUGGAAAGAUCGCUGUUAAUAUAUGUUAUGGGAGGCACCAUCCUUUGAAUUGGUUAGCUUUUGGAUUAAAUGGUGCAGAGAUUGUUUUCAACCCUUCUGCUACUGUUGGUGAAUUCAGUGAACCAAUGUGGCCCAUUGAGGGGAUUCUAUUAUCCAUUAGCUUUAUCGUUACAAUUCACUUUUGUUUUAAGGAUUUCUCUCUUUUGAAUCUUGAUUCUGCUUCUGAGAUGAUUAUGAUUUUGUCGUACUUUGGCACUUUCACAUUAGAAAAAUCAAUUGAGAGAUUGGUUCAUCUACAUGAAUUUUUUAUGCAAUCUAUCAAAAGCUACUUUAUCUUACAAGUAUAUAUUCAGAUAAUGGUCUAAGAGAUGGUCAUUCAAAUGAAAAUAUUUGUCAGCCAUUUGUUACACUGAAAUAUUUGCAAUUUUUCAACCUUAAAUAAUUUUUUAUAAUACCCAAAAAAGGGGAAAAUAUUUCUCAAUAGUAAGUUAAUAUAUUAUUUGUCGGUUUUUCAGGCCUGUAAUGCUGCAAUAGCAAACAGUUACUUUGUUGGGUCAAUCAACCGUGUUGGGACUGAGACAUUCCCCAAUCCAUUCACUUCGGGUGAUGGAAAGCCAUAACAUGCAGAUUUUGGCCAUUUCUAUGGAUCCAGUCAUUUUUCAGCCCCAGAUGCUUCUUGUACUCCUUCUCUUUCUCGUAACAGGGAUGGGUUGCUGAUCACAGACAUGGAUCUUAACCUCUGUAGGCAGCUGAAAGACAAGUGGGGGUCCCGUAUGACUGCCUGGUAUGAGUUGUAUGCAGAGUUGCUUGCUCAUUAUUUAAAGCCAGAUUUUGAGCCCCAAGUCAUUUCUGAUCCCUUGUUACACAAGAAGUCUUUGUGAAUAUCAGGCACUAGUAAGAAUUAAACAUUUUCUAUGUUUUAUAUUCAUGGGAUGAGAUAGUGCAAGGUAGCUCUUGGCCAUGUUGGUUGAGCUCAUUCAUGCAGACUUGUCCAAGGACUUCAUAAAAGUCUUCAUGGCCCCAGAUGCACCAUCAUGUUUGAACAAAAUUAGACUCUAACCAAGUACAGAGGUAGUGCUCAAAAGGGGAUGGUCAUCAUACAGGAAGGCUAUUUAGGAAGUGGUGGGAGAGGUUUCUGCAUGGUGGUGAGGAAAUUACUAGAAUUUAGAGAAUUCAUACUCUUGUUUUGUCCAACCAAUGACUAUGACAGCUAGAAACAAAGUUUACAAGGGUCAACACGUUGCUCAACAAACAACACAAGCUAAUAUGGCAAUGCCUACGGAGGGGAAGAUGCAUGACUAAACUUCAAACAGAUUUCAGAGUCAAGGAAAGAAGUAUCAAGGACAGUCUAGGAGUGACAACGAAUUCCAGAAAAUUUGAUUGUCAGAGAAGGAAAGCGGUAGUAAUUGUAAUUUGUAAAUCUGAAAGAUAAUUUUUGGGCAAGACUCUGUUUAAGCAUUAUUCAGUGUGAGCUUAUGGAAAAAUAUAUUCCAAGGUUGGGUUAAUUUUGAAAGUUAUAUACAUUUUGAGGUGGGGGCAGAUACUAGGAUUUGUUUUCAGUAUGAUUGUUGGUGUGGGGUUGAUAACCUAGAGCCCUGUAAAUUGCAAGAAACAUAGAGGCAACAAUGGCUGAUAUUUGGAUGUGUCAAAUGCAUACUUAAUGGAGUCCUUUUAUUUGGACAGUACAAGAUGGGGGGAUAGAGUCCAUGGAUUCUUUCUUGGAGGAUCUGUAUGCUGGUAAGGUGCACCAGGGUCUGGAGUAUAGGAUAUAUGAGGAUGGGAGACCUAUUUUGUGUGUUAGAGCUUCACCCUGUGUUGGAUUCUUUGUAUGGACAGUUUAAGAAGGGUAAAUUUUUAACAACAGAUAAUUGGAGAAAGUGGGGGUAUUUGUGCUUAUUCGGAAUGUGUUGUUUCAAAAAUGGUGCCAGAUUUAUCGACUUGUUGGAAAGGUUUAUUUGGCAAAAAGGCAGAGUCAGAAAUUUUGGGGGCUAUCCUUUGUGUUUGAUGUAGACUAUAUGGAGAGAGGAAAAUGCAUACUUUCAAAGGCAUAGAAUGUUCGGUAAUCCAGUUGAAGUCUCAGUUCCUUGGAACACUAAUAAGAUGGAACAAGUUGACUAGCCAUGAUUUUCUGUAGAUCUUGUAGCUUUUAUGGACAAGUACUUUAGAUGAUUUUCCUUGCCACUCUUAUCUCAAUUACGGUGUCCUGAUGCAUAAUACCCGUUUACUUGGGCCAUACUUCUCUAUUUCUAUUUUAUCAACGAGAUCCUUUUACUUAGAAAAACAAACCAAUUUGUGGAUGAGUCCUCUUCUUUUUAAGGAAAUUGUGUGAACAGCUAAUAUAAUUAUGUCCAUAUUAUUUGUUUCCUGGUCUUAUGUAGUUUUUUUAUUAUUCCAUUUUCCAGGUGGGAUGGUGGGCUGGCAUUUCAAAAGAUAUUAACGAUCCUCUUGGUUUAAUUAUUCAGAUAACACCAGAGCAUGGAAUAUAUGUGGCAAGAAGUUAUAGCCCUCAGUGAGGUCUUCUUGAUUAAUGAAAAGAUUCAUUUGUAUAUCAUGUUCUUCAUGAAACAACACUUCUUAACAACCAACAUCAAGCUUUAGUCAGACUCUCAAGUCUUAACCAAGACUGGAGCUUUGAUAUUGGAGUUGUUUCCUGUUGGAAUUAAAAACGCAUUUGUGCCUUUUGUUUUGUUGGGGUUUCCUUGUUUAUUGCUUUCCAUUGUUUUAAUUAUUCUUUGUUGAAAAUGGGUUUGUUUAGGGAUAGUUGUUCAUGAGUUGAUGGGUUUUCCUUGUUAAUGUUUGAAUAUAUUUGGGGGACAGGAAUGCUACCAUAGAUCCCUAAUAGUUAGAUUGCAGUCGGAAAUCUGUGUUCAAAUUUUCUAUGAGUUGAAUUGUAUUGCCCUUCAAAAUGAAGAAAUGCUGUUACGGUCUUAAACGUUGGUACUAGAGAGAAAAAUUGAGGGUAUAUUAAAAGAAAAAAAAAAAAAACACGCGCACACACUCCCACAUAUUCAAACAUUAAAAUUUCAAUAAUUUUUUAUGUUCUUAAUUUUUUAUUGAAUAUACAGUCCAGCCAGAACAGAAGAUUGAACUGUUCCACCCAUGGCUGAUAACCUUUAUGGGGUUGAGAGCAGUCAGUUUUCGAAAAUCUUGCUUGUAAGACUUUUGCAACUGAACAAAUAGAAGCAGAACAUGUAAAUUACAAAAAAUUCAAUUAGAGCUGAUAAUAUUGAGGAAAAAGCAGAUGUUAACAGCUUUACCUGUUGUCAAUUAAAAGAGCCUAGGGGCAGGGGUGGGAAUGUUUAAAAAGGAGCUCCUACAUGUAGGGGUGAAUGUGGUUUGGUGCAGCCAGUGUGGGGGAAGGUUUUUGGGUGGUUCGUAAAAUGUGAGCCGCCUCCGUGCCGUUGGAUCGAAAUUCCAGCUACAUUGGUGGUGGUUAUUGUUCAUAAGGUGGUCAGUUGCUUCGAUCACUAGUAAGAAAAAGAGAACAAAUGCAUGUGCAAGAGAGAGAGAGGGAGAGACGGAAGAGAGAUGCCAGAGGCUUAGAUCUGGAUCUGACUUCUGAGAGGCUUACUUCCGUUUGCAGCCCUGGUCAUCAUCGGAAUCUCUCUGCAGUGGUCGGCAUGGUGCGGAACUGAUGUGGUGGGUCAGAGGCGGAUUGGUCUGUUCACCCCUACCCAUGCUCAUGUCUAGCCCUGAUUAGGCAAAUUAGGGAUUUCUGGUUUGUUCUCUUGGAAUGUCAAUAAGCUGCAAGCCCUUGGCGACAGCUGUUUCAUUGGUCUUCUGGCCAAAAUUCACUGGUUUUAGUAUGAUUAUUAAUUUUAACUGCUGUAUGCUAUCCUAUCUGGUAGAUAUCUUAUCAGGAAGGUUUAGUUAUAUAUUUAGUCAACACUGGUUUGGUUAUCUUGGGUACCUUUUCAUAUUUACUUAUAAUUUAAAGCACUUUUGGUACAUUGAUUAAAUUUUUUUCAAUCAGAUCCUGCUACAUGGUGUGCUGCUUUUGCUGAUUGUUCAAUCUUGUUGCUCUUUUCCCCCCUUUCCAGGCAACUUGCUAUGGCUGCAGCUGGUGUUCCAUUGUUUGAAGUAUUCCUUAGAGUGAAUAAGAGAGGUGAAUACAAAGAGCAGGUUCGUUUUCUCUAGCCACUUGAGUUUGUUGUAUACUUUGCUGAUUGAAUCAUCUUUUCUACUUGCAAAGAAUUUGACGUAGAUUCCUUUACGGGUGCUUUUGAAUUUGUACUGCUUACUGAGUUCUCUGCAAAAUACUGACUAAAGACCUUUUUGUGACUAUCGCAUGUGCCUAGAAGUUGAGAGAGAGAGAGAGAGAGAGAGAGAGUUGUAGGUGAAUGGAUUUGAGCGGUCAUUCCAUUAGCCUUUGAGUCAAAUGGAAUUCACACCCCAAUAAGUAUGGGGUGGUAGAUGAGGAUUUUGGUUCAAGUCUUGUGAUGUGAGUCAUCAAUUUAAAUAAAGAGAGAAAGGAACUGAGGUUUCAUUUUUGUUUGGUCUUAGAGCAUUCACAUCAGCCUCUGCGCAAAUUUAGCUAAACUAGUCCCAAAAACUCAACUUUUACUAUUUUAACAAACAUACACCAACAUCAGUCUCAAUAUUUAUUUCUUUACUCUAACAAAAUAUUAUUUAUUCAUUCUUCCCCAUCCCAUUUCACAGCCACACCUGACACCACCGCACACUCACACCACCAAGCAUCCCUGCCUUAGAAAACCCGGGCCAUUGAAUACAGAAUUCACCGUUAAGCUCAUCCGCCAAAUCAGUAAAACCCAUCCACCAAAUCAACAAACUCAGUAAAGCUUCACAACAAAAUCAGUAAAUCACGAUGAACCCAUCCACCAACAAAAUCAGUAAACCCAGACCAUCACCCAUCCACCACCAUUGAUGAAUGGAGUUCUCAAACCCAGGUCGCCAUAGAUCUAUGCAUGAGAGAGAGAGAACUGCAAAAAUCAACCCAAAAAACCACACAACAAGCAACCCAAAUCAACCACAACCCAGCUGCUGACCCGAAUCUGUAAACGGGCCCAUCUAUGGAUUGCACAGGAUGGAGAUUUGUUCAAGGAGGAGCUUGAUUGGCCAUGGAGGUUUGAUUCGAAGGAGAGACAGAGAGGGGAGAGCUUGGUCUGGUUGAGGGGAGAGUGUUAGUGGGGAAGAGAGAUGAAUUUAAAAUUGGGUGAAAUUUAGUUUGUUGAUGAGCAGGGCUAAACAAAUGUUUUGAAACACUGUUCAUUUGUCAGCUAUUUGGGACAAAACAUUGAGGCUGAUGCAUGUGGCUUUAGGGACUUUCACAAUUUUUUGUUUGACUAAGGGUUGUUUUAUACUUUUAUCUACACUGCUGUGAAUGCUCUUAGAGUGGAAAUAAAGCUGUAUUUGAUGGAUAUGUAUGAUAACAGAUAACAUGAACACUACAAGCUUUAGCAUAUGUCAUGCAUGAGAAAAAUUCUGCUAUUUCUGGUAUAAUAAUUGAUUCAACAAGGAACGUAAAUCUUCUUGCCAAUGAGCUGAAGUUCAAUUGGCACCUCCUCCCCUUAUAAGUUCUAGGCGGAGGAUGACAUCGUGGGUUUAUGAUCCAUUGGGUGUGUGUGUACCUUAACAAAAAAAAAGAAAAGGAAUGGCAAUUUGCGCGAGGUGGUGAAUUGCAAAGUACUUAAGUGAUUCAGAAUUUAUAAAUCAUUUAGCAGUAUGAACAUGCAUAUUUCGAGUUAUAUUGUUAUUUGUUGUUGGAAACAGCUUUGUUGCUCAAGUAUUUGGUGAGUCUCACAGGCUUGUCAUUCAUCACUGGUAACCAAUGUUUCAUUUCCAAGCAUGAAUUUUCACACCUAGAUUCAUUGUUGUUUAUGAUGGAUAGUUGUUUCUUUAAUACUUUAGAAAGUACUGCAUUUCCUAAACUAGGUUUUAAUUGAAGGAGCCUCCUUUAGUGGUUUUGGCACAAGUCAAUGGAUGUCCUUGUUAAAUGUAGUUGAGAAGCUUACUUUGUGGUUUCGGUUUUCUUUUUAUGAUAGGUAUUUCAUUUUAUCUUUUUAUUCUCUUUCUCGUGCUUUAAACAUUUACACCCUUUCUUGUUUCGAUAAAAAAAUUUUCCAAGAAAAAUGUCAUCAAUAGCAAAUAUUUUGAGGGAACAUGGUGAAAUUCAGUAGGCAGUGGUGGUUGUGGAAUGUGGUGGCAGCAUGGAACUAGGGGAGGGAGAGGUGGUGAAGGUGGCAUAGAGGGUUAUUGUUUUUUGGGUUGGGGGAGGGGAAUUGGGGGGGUGGGGGGUGGGUGGGGUGGUGAUUGGUUGAGGGAGUUGGGAAGGGCCACAAGCUUGAUCUAGAAAUUGAUUUACACCUUUUGCAUUAAAUUGUUCUUUUCCUCUUUGGUAUAGUUUUCUAUUGACCAUGAUUUUUUUUACUAGUAAUUUUUGUACCAAAUACCUUAAAAUGCAAAAAACUAUAUCCAAAAGUGUUUUACGUUGAAAACUCAGCCUGAAUAAAGUGACGUUUAUCAAAAAGUGAAAAACAACUAGGGUGUUGCUUUAUCCUUAUGGGGUUUAUCAUCUCUCACACGUUUUGUAUUUUUGCAAUUGCAAUUGAUAAAUGGCAUACACAUUAUGGUGCUUGUUUCUUUGAGGAAUUUAUAUUAUGCAUCUAUAAUUUGAGAUUCUGCAAUAUUGGAUAUACUUGCAUCCUCAUAUACUUAUAGGCAUGCAUGUUUUGCCCGGUGUUUCACUUGUGAUGUUUUGGAUUCUAUGUUUAUUGUGUGCUAGUUAUCAUCGUGUAUUGUAUGUUAUCUUUGCACAUCAUAUCAUUUUCAGGCUGUGUUCUUAAAGCGGAGAGGAGUUUUUCAAGAUUCUCCAACAGUUCGCUCUAAAGCAUUGGAUGCCACUGGAAAUUUGAAUCCGUUAGACUCAACUGAAGAUAAAAGUGAUCUAUUUGUUGUGAAUACUGAAGAUGGUGAUGAUAGGGAUGAUAGUUCUGAUCUAGCUGAAGGUCUGUCUGUUUUCCAGAACAUCUUGAGAGAUAUGAUUCCUGGUGUGAAGGUCAAGGUUUUAAAAGUGACAACACCAGGGAAGGUAGACAGGGAUUUAAUAUCCAAGGUUUUGAGCAGAUAAUUGA
rnacentral:sRNA from 1 species